rnacentral:rRNA from 1 species
GGUUAAGCGACUAAGCGUACACGGUGGAUGCCCUGGCAGUCAGAGGCGAUGAAGGACGUGCUAAUCUGCGAAAAGCGCCGGCGAGGUGAUAUGAACCCUUGACCCGGCGAUGUCCGAAUGGGGAAACCCAGUGUGUUCCGACACACUAUCGUUAACUGAAUACAUAGGUUAACGAGGCGAACCGGGGGAACUGAAACAUCUAAGUACCCCGAGGAAAAGAAAUCAACCGAGAUUCCCCCAGUAGCGGCGAGCGAACGGGGAGCAGCCCGGAGUCUGAAUCAGCUUGUGUGUUAGUGGAACGGUCUGGAAAGUCCGACGGUACAGGGUGAUAGUCCCGUACACGAAAAUGCACAGGUUGUGAACUCGAAGAGUAGGGCGGGACACGUGGUAUCCUGUCUGAAUAUGGGGGGACCAUCCUCCAAGGCUAAAUACUCCUGACUGACCGAUAGUGAACCAGUACCGUGAGGGAAAGGCGAAAAGAACCCCGGCGAGGGGAGUGAAAAAGAACCUGAAACCGUGUACGUACAAGCAGUGGGAGCACCUUCGGGUGUGACUGCGUACCUUUUGUAUAAUGGGUCAGCGACUUAUAUUCUGUAGCAAGGUUAACCGUAUAGGGGAGCCGAAGGGAAACCGAGUCUUAACUGGGCGUUAAGUUGCAGGGUAUAGACCCGAAACCCGGUGAUCUAGCCAUGGGCAGGUUGAAGGUUGGGUAACACUAACUGGAGGACCGAACCGACUAAUGUUGAAAAAUUAGCGGAUGACCUGUGGCUGGGGGUGAAAGGCCAAUCAAACCGGGAGAUAGCUGGUUCUCCCCGAAAGCUAUUUAGGUAGCGCCUCGUGAACUCAUCUUCGGGGGUAGAGCACUGUUUCGGCUAGGGGGCCAUCCCGGCUUACCAACCCGAUGCAAACUACGAAUACCGAAGAAUGUUAUCACGGGAGACACACGGCGGGUGCUAACGUCCGUCGUGAAGAGGGAAACAACCCAGACCGCCAGCUAAGGUCCCAAAGUCAUGGUUAAGUGGGAAACGAUGUGGGAAGGCACAGACAGCCAGGAUGUUGGCUUAGAAGCAGCCAUCAUUUAAAGAAAGCGUAAUAGCUCACUGGUCGAGUCGGCCUGCGCGGAAGAUGUAACGGGGCUAAACCAUGCACCGAAGCUGCGGCAGCGACACUAUGUGUUGUUGGGUAGGGGAGCGUUCUGUAAGCCGUUGAAGGUGUGCUGUGAGGCAUGCUGGAGGUAUCAGAAGUGCGAAUGCUGACAUAAGUAACGAUAAAGCGGGUGAAAAGCCCGCUCGCCGGAAGACCAAGGGUUCCUGUCCAACGUUAAUCGGGGCAGGGUGAGUCGACCCCUAAGGCGAGGCCGAAAGGCGUAGUCGAUGGGAAACAGGUUAAUAUUCCUGUACUUGGUGUUACUGCGAAGGGGGGACGGAGAAGGCUAUGUCAGCCGGGCGACGGUUGUCCCGGUUUAAGCAUGUAGGCGGAGGUUCCAGGUAAAUCCGGUACCUUUUAACGCUGAGGUGUGAUGACGAGGCACUACGGUGCUGAAGUGAUAAAUGCCCUGCUUCCAGGAAAAGCCUCUAAGCAUCAGGUAACACGAAAUCGUACCCCAAACCGACACAGGUGGUCAGGUAGAGAAUACCAAGGCGCUUGAGAGAACUCGGGUGAAGGAACUAGGCAAAAUGGUGCCGUAACUUCGGGAGAAGGCACGCUGAUAUGUAGGUGAAGCCCCUGCGGGCGGAGCUGAAAUCAGUCGAAGAUACCAGCUGGCUGCAACUGUUUAUUAAAAACACAGCACUGUGCAAACACGAAAGUGGACGUAUACGGUGUGACGCCUGCCCGGUGCCGGAAGGUUAAUUGAUGGGGUUAGCGGCAACGCGAAGCUCUUGAUCGAAGCCCCGGUAAACGGCGGCCGUAACUAUAACGGUCCUAAGGUAGCGAAAUUCCUUGUCGGGUAAGUUCCGACCUGCACGAAUGGCGUAAUGAUGGCCAGGCUGUCUCCACCCGAGACUCAGUGAAAUUGAACUCGCUGUGAAGAUGCAGUGUACCCGCGGCAAGACGGAAAGACCCCGUGAACCUUUACUAUAGCUUGACACUGAACACUGGUCCUUGAUGUGUAGGAUAGGUGGGAGGCUUUGAAGCGUGGACGCCAGUCUGCGUGGAGCCAUCCUUGAAAUACCACCCUUUAAUGGCUGGUGUUCUAACGUAGACCCGUGAUCCGGGUUGCGGACAGUGUCUGGUGGGUAGUUUGACUGGGGCGGUCUCCUCCCAAAGAGUAACGGAGGAGCACGAAGGUUGGCUAAUCCUGGUCGGACAUCAGGAGGUUAGUGCAAUGGCAUAAGCCAGCUUGACUGCGAGCGUGACGGCGCGAGCAGGUGCGAAAGCAGGUCAUAGUGAUCCGGUGGUUCUGAAUGGAAGGGCCAUCGCUCAACGGAUAAAAGGUACUCCGGGGAUAACAGGCUGAUACCGCCCAAGAGUUCAUAUCGACGGCGGUGUUUGGCACCUCGAUGUCGGCUCAUCACAUCCUGGGGCUGAAGUAGGUCCCAAGGGUAUGGCUGUUCGCCAUUUAAAGUGGUACGCGAGCUGGGUUUAGAACGUCGUGAGACAGUUCGGUCCCUAUCUGCCGUGGGCGCUGGAGAAUUGAGGGGGGCUGCUCCUAGUACGAGAGGACCGGAGUGGACGCAUCACUGGUGUUCGGGUUGUCAUGCCAAUGGCACUGCCCGGUAGCUAAAUGCGGAAGAGAUAAGUGCUGAAAGCAUCUAAGCACGAAACUUGCCCCGAGAUGAGUUCUCCCUGAGACUUUAAGUCUCCUGAAGGAACGUUGAAGACGACGACGUUGAUAGGUCGGGUGUGUAAGCGCAGCGAUGCGUUGAGCUAACCGAUACUAAUGAACCGUGAGGCUUAACCUU